rnacentral:rRNA from 1 species
ACUCCUACGGGGAGGCAGCAGUGGGGAAUAUUGCACAAUGGGGGGAAACCCUGAUGCAGCCAUGCCGCGUGUGUGAAGAAGGCCUUCGGGUUGUAAAGCACUUUCAGUAGGGAGGAAGGUAGUGUAGUUAACACCUGCAUUAUUUGUACGUUACCUACAGAAGAAGCACCGGCUAACUCCGUGCCAGCAGCCGCGGUAAUACGGAGGGUGCGAGCGUUAAUCGGAAUUACGUGGGCGUAAAGCGCAUGCAGGCGGCCUGUUAAGUCAGAUGUGAAAGCCCGGGGCUUAACCGUCGGAAUUGCAUUUGAAACGUGGCAGGCGUAGAGGUCUUGGUAGAGGGGGUUAGAAGUUUCAGGUGUAGCGGUGAAAUGCGUAGAGAUCUAG